UACGUAGGCAGCGAGCGUUGUUCGGAGUUACUGGGCGUAAAGGGUGUGUAGGCGGUUUUCUAAGUUUGGUGUGAAAUCUCCCGGCUCAACCGGGAGGGUGCGCCGAAAACUGGGAGACUAGAGUGCGGUAGAGGAGAGUGGAAUUCCCGGUGUAGCAGUGAAAUGCGUAGAGAUCGGGAGGAACAUCAGUUGCGAAGGCGGCUCUCUGGACCAGCACUGACACUGAGGCACGAAAGCGUGGGGAGCAAACAGG
rnacentral:rRNA from 1 species